UACAGAGGUCCCAAGCGUUGUUCGGAUUCACUGGGCGUAAAGGGUGCGUAGGUGGUGAGGUAAGUCGGAUGUGAAAUCUCCGAGCUCAACUCGGAAAUGGCAUUGGAAACUACCUUGCUCGAGGGUUGGAGGGGGGACUGGAAUGCUUGGUGUAGCAGUGAAAUGCGUAGAUAUCAAGCGAAACACCAGUGGCGAAGGCGAGUCCCUGGACAACUCCUGACACUGAGGCACGAAAGCUAGGGGAGCAAACAGG
rnacentral:rRNA from 1 species